GUGAGUUUAGUAUUUAAGUAUACCUUAUUGUGGUUAAGGUGGGUGUCUCGUUCUUAUG
rnacentral:tRNA from 1 species